AAGUUCAAUUUCAGCCUGUGAAGUUAGUUUUCAAGUCCACUGAACAGAUCCCAGAAUAAUUUCUUCAGUGGAAUAUGUGUUCAGAGAUGCCCUCAAUCCUUCCCCCUGCUAGCGAGCACCCACCCAUCUGAACUAAGAGAAACGGGAAUCAUUCUUCUUAUACUUGGAGGAAGGAAAUUCUGACAUUUGCCACAGUGUGGAAGACAGGAUGCUGAAUGAAAUAAGCCGGUCACAGAAGGACAAAGACUGAGUGUUGACCCUCCCCCACUUCAGGCUGAGCAUGUGUAGGCACCUACUGGCUCACAGAGAAUCCAUGCUACAGUAUGAACUGGGAAUGAAAUGAGGGGCCUGAGCCUGGGUGAGGCCUCAAAGACUGUGCUGGUGGAGCUAGUCAGAACACACGCAGAGCUGGUUGCCUCAUGGUGACAGCUCAGAACAGUGGCCAAUGGACCUUCGCAGAAGGUGAGGCCGGGACAUGUGAAGUGGCUGCAAGAGCUGUCUGAUUCACACACACAGGUAAAGAGAGUUGACCAGAGAAGUGCCAAAUGCAUGCUAAAGAAGCUGUAGACACAAACUGCUGUGAGGGUCUGAGGAGGCAGGUCAGUGGGUCGGCCCCCGGGGUGGUGGU